AAAAAGGUAAGCUAAUAUUCUAAGCUAAUAGGUUCAUACCCUAUAUAUAGAAGUGAAAUCUUCUUCUUUUUA
rnacentral:tRNA from 1 species